CUGGGAAUCUGGACGCGGAAGGUGACUGGCCAGCAUGCUGCGGGGUCCUGGAGGGUCCCCGGCAGCUCUUCCUGCCCCCAGGUCCUGUCCCCGGGCUUGAAUAAAAUCAGCUUUUUGCACCAGAGACGUCUUCAAGAACUCUUUCUCGGCCGUCGGCUCCGGACCCCAUGAACCCCACCGUCACCCCCGAAACCUCGUCAUAAGGACAUUCUAAACAUGACACUCAGUUCAGUGCUCCAACCAGAGCCGGGAGCCCACGGUGACCCACAGCUCUACUUGGGUCCCAGUCCCGGAACCAUCACGCGUUAGUCGGACGGUCUGGCUUUCUCAGGGGCCGGGUCUCCUGGCCUGUAACGUGGUACAUGUGGAAUCCCUGAGGGUUUGCAGAAAAUACUGGGACCAUGGCAAGUGCUCCACAAAGGCCCACUAUGACUGUCGGACCUAGUCUGGAAACAAGAAAAGUGGCUUGGACAAGGGCACCAUCAGCAGCCCUGUGAGCUCCAGGACCGUAGCUCUUUCCUGUGAGUCAUCUCCUGACUGGCCUGGACAUUCUCAUGGGGACCCAGUGGGGGAUGCUGAUGUCUGGAGCUGAUGAGUAAAAGUGACAGGGAGUCGGGGUGGAGAGGAUCCUUCUGGUUCUUUCCAGGUGAACUGUGCUGAUUCCGGCCUGAGCAUUUGGGAUCUCAAGGUAAUCAAGACGCCAGAUGUACUCUGAGCCCUGCUGUGUGCCCCUUCCCCACCACAUUACCUUAUGCGACGGAGCGUCAACUUCCCAAGAAGGCAGAGGGAGGACAGGUGGCCCAGAACCCCACCAGGGUAGGCGGGGGGAUCCAGGGCACCCAGAAACCCUGUGGCCAGCGUGCCCUUACGACCAGCCUACACCAGACCUCCCUACUCCUCAAGAGGCCUGUGCUGGCCCGUGUGUCAGGGAUAAUCUCCCCCUGGCUUUUCUCCCCGUGGGCCACACUCACCUCUUCCCACAGCCCCAGUCUGAGAAGAGCAUCUUUUGACCAUCGGGAAUGCUCCCAGGGGCCUCAGGAGCCCCGGCCCCUGCAGACUGGAAGGUCAGACCAGCCCUGUUCCCUUGGGAAGGCUCCACAGGGAACUGGGAGGACCCUGUGAGACAGGCAGAAGGUGAAGGCUGCCCAAGCACAGCCCAGACCCCCCUGCUCGCCAGCGCAGCGUGCCCUUGCUGCUGGGAGUGGUUGCUGCGCAGCCGCCCAGAGAACUGCCUUGGGCCGAGCAGGAAUCAACUGGCCGGGUGUUUUGCCCGCCCAGUGGCGCCUGCAGCUCACGGACCUUGACCUCAAGUGCAGACUACCUCGUGCUCCAGAGCUCCUGGUGGGAUGUGGCUCACGCUACACCCUGGUUGAGACCACGUCCUGGUUCCCCUCCUUCCCCACUCUUCCUGCUUCCCCGGCCGCUCUUUUCCAGACAGCACCCCCUGAAUUAAUCGUAUGCUUAAAGAUCCAAGUCUCAGGCUUGAUUUGGGGGAACCCAACCUAAGAGACCAUGUAACCCCAAGGCUGUUCUUCUUACUCCCCCAACACCAACCUUGCGGCCUCUCUGAAUGACCUGCCUUCUUGUAAUUUGUUGUGCUUUUUCACCCCCAACCCGAGGGCUUUGCAAACACAGUUCCUUUGCCUGAACUGCCCAUCCCAGCUUAGCCCCAUGAAAAGGCCCAGCUUGAAGGUCACCCUUUCGUGCCGCUUCCGUUGAGCCAUGAAGCACAUAGUAUCUGCAGCUGCCAUAGCAUUGGUCUCAGGGCAUGACUAACAGCUGUCAGAGGUGGGGUCAGGGUCAAUCCAUACUGAACCAUGGGCUCUCAGGACCCCUCACUCACUCCUGCCAAGAUGCCCAGAACCCAUCAGGUACUCAACUCGUGCUCAGGAGUUGAGGCUCAGGACUCAACUAGCCUGCCCUUGGAAUCUGUCUGUCCUCUGUGGGCCCGUCUGGCCUGCUUCUGUCCAGUCGUCCCCUUUGGCACCUGGAACUGUCUCCUGAGAAGCCUUCAGGUCACCUCUCCUGUGGACUACAUCUGUGAGAGACACUUGGAAAGAAACAGACUCACAGCGUAGUAUGGCUGGUCCCAGGCCACAUAGUCAGCAGAAAGGAGCAGAGCUCUUGCCCCCGGGACGACUUUCGGUCAUCCCAAUUUGGACCACUGUAGGUGAUGGGGAAGGGGGCAUGGUUUUCUUCAGGAGUGCAGGAGAGGCCAAAUGUUAGUGCGAGUCUGAUGGCAUGAAAUGGAUACUGUAACUCCUUAUGCAGCUUCUGCAGGCAGCCCAGACCCUCAUUACAGAUGAUGCCUGAUUCCCCUUCAGAGGAAGGAGCCUCAAGUUGUAUCAGUUGGGGCUGGGCAGGAGACAGAAUUCACCCCAGAUAGUUCAAAUGGACAGACUUCAGUGAAGGGGAUAAUUAAUUCCUGAGGGGUGAUCAGGGUUAGGGGAAUAAACAGGGAUGUUGAGGGAUUCAGAGAUUCAGAGGGACGUCAGGAAGCUGUUCUUGGCCCAGGAAGUUGGCCCAGGGGCCAAGAUUGGGGGAGGUGAACAGAGCCCCGUGGGACAUUGGAGGAGACAGAGAGGCAGGGGAGCAACACCCCAACUGCUCCCCUCGCACCCCAUCUCCUGCUGGGGUCUCCCACUGACCACAUCCAACUAGAAGUUAGAGGGCAAGAAAACCUGGAGCCUCCCAAGAAGCAGAACAGGGCCAAGAAGGGCAAAGAAGAGAGCUGGAGGUAGGGUAGCAAAUGGAGAAUGACCGACAGAGACAAUGCCUCCUUUUAAUGAACUAGCAGUGGGUGGUACCCGGGCCAGUGCAGAAAUGGGUGUGCAAGACAGGUGCAUGGUCAUCCUAGCUUCUCAGUUUAUCACCCUUCCUCCCACUGUGUCCCAGUGGGGCCACCCCCACUUCUUUGUCACAGGGUCUAGCAGGUAACGGAGACCGACCUGAACAGACAGGGUAUGUGGGAACAGAUCCUUAGCCAGCCAUUAGCUCAAGUUACAGACCUCUGCCAGAGACCGUAUUGCUUCCAGAACAAGGAGGAGGGGUCGCUGAGGCCUGAGUAAAGUUGUCUGGUGACCCUUCCCCUCCCCAGCCCAAUGGACACCCCAUUGGCGAAACAAGGCGAAACGACUCCCAGCACCUCUUCUCAAACACCCGAGGCUCCCUGGCCCAGCAUUCAAGAUGGCACAGCAAGGGGACUUCUAGGGACACUCCUCGACUUUGUGGGAUUUGGUUACAUUUCUGGGUAGGAAUGGGAGACUCUGGAAGAACUGACACACCUGUGUUGGUGGAACCGUGAGCUGGUUUGCAAAGGAGAGCCUGUUGAUACACAAAGGGCAUUAUCUACUGGGCCAUUCUCCAUAGACAGCAGGAGGCAAGGAUGAUAUGGAUGCAUGUUGGGUAGGAAGACCUGUUUCUUCUUACCCACCCCUUUCUCCAGGUCAUUGGGAAGGGACACGGAGAGUUGUUAGCAUGGCUAUAAGGGGCACCUGUUCUGUAUCCCUUCGCCAUAUUAAUAUGUGCCCUCCCUUAAGAUAGCCUAACAAAGGCCUCCAAGUCUGGGAAGAAAAAUGUCAUAACUGAUAACAUUGAGCACCUACAAAGUCAGAUAUGUAAAUUCCAUUGCUUUUAGGUCCUAUCUUGCAAACUGUUUGCCAAGGAGAGAGACGGCCCACAACCUGGAAAGGGGCUAGGGCUUGGUGGGGAUAUGAGGAGGGGGACUCCCAGGUCUCUGGAGGGAGCACUUCGGGGUAUACAGGGAGGGGUGUCCCGCCCACAAGGUUGGGAGGCCCCAAGUUGGCCCCUGCAGCCCAGCAGUCUUGUUCACUGGACGUCUCAGCAAGGACCAGCAUGAGCGAAGACGGAAGGGUCCUCCCAGAAUGCCUGUGUGGGAGGGAAUCAAAUUCCCCUUCAGCUCCACAGGAGUGCAAAGUCUAGUUUCAUCUUUUCCUUAGAGAAGAAAUAAGAUGUUUCUUGCAUAUCUGUGGUGGCAGAUUUAAAAGCACCACACAUUUAUUGCAUGCUACAUACUCUAGGCCCUGAAAACAGAACUGACUGAUGGGUUCAUAACCCUGGCCACGGGAUCCGAUUGCUUGACAUCCAUUUCCCAGCAGCCCACUUACUAGCCAGGUGUUCUUGGGUAACUUAACACUGGCUGAUUCAGCAAUUUCAAAACAGGGGAACAGAAAGCUUUCCAAGGGUAUGUUGGUCUGGCUAGUGUGAUAGAUUGGAAACACGGCCCAGCUUUGCCCUUGUCCCUGCAGUCUGUUUACCCCACCCCUCCAGUCUGGAUGGGUCCUGUGACUUGCUUUGGGCAAUGUGGCAGAAUUGGACCCCUGCCCUCAGCAGCAAACCUGGUGCAGGAGAAGAGAGAUGGGGGGCUUUCUCCACCUCCCUGCUUGCCCUGGCUGCCCCUCCCCCAAGCCCCAGCUCUCAUGGCCCUCAGAAGACUCUUCCCUCUCUGGCCCGGAGCCUGGAAGGUGGUGUCCCAGGCAGGGUUUCCUGGAAGCACAGGGGAGAAGGGGAUUUGUGUGAAUGAGCUUUAUUAGCGGAUGUUCUCUGGAAAAUCUAGGAGGGGAGGGGGAAAUGGGGCCAGGAAGGGAAGGAAGCCCAGCAGGGGUGUGAGGGCAGAGAGGGCUGCGUGUGCCCAUCUGAGACGAGGUACUCAAACCCCAUCGGUCGCCCGGGGGGCACGUCUAGCUCUCUCUCUGCACCGGCAAAGCUGGGUGUCGAGGGCGGCCCUCUGGCAAAGAGAGAGGCAGAUGCCAGCUGCAGGGCUAAACCCACCGGAAACCCCACACUUAAGGACACCCCUCCUCCACCUCUUGUUCUCCAAGUCUUAGCGUUCACCAAGGUGAGCAAUGAGAAAGCAGGGCUUUAACUUCUCUAGCACAAUGCAGCCUAGCACAAACAGCGAGAGGAAUGGCUGUCUUGGGGCAGCGUCCUCUCGCACCCGCACCGGAGGAAGCCCGGCAGAGGAAGUACAAAGUGCUCUGAUGCCCCCCGGAAGUGGGGGGAUGGAGGGCAAGGAAGAUGGAGGGAAACAGUCAUCCCGCCCCAAAUGGGCGUUGGAUGGAACCGACCUGUUGGAUCCUGGGCCCUGGGGCCGACUCCCCACGCCUCCACUUUCUAGCCGCGUGACCUGGGGCUGGUUAUUUAACCUCUCUGUGCCAUUGCUUUAUCAUCUGUAAAAGGAGGAUGGCGGAAACAAUAGCGAUAACAGAUUUAGUUGUGUUGCGCUAAUCUCUACAGAGCACUUAAAACCAUGCUCUGCAUGGGAUAGGCAAUCAGCACUGACGGUUUUAAUUGUUGUUAGUAUUAAUCAUUAAAAUAAACAGACUCUUCUAA